rnacentral:lncRNA from 1 species
GAGAAGGAUAGGGUACGCUGGGUGUCGGAGGUUUCCGAGGAUUCUGCUGAGCCUUUUCUCCAUGGAUAUCCGGAGGUUCGAAAGCUUCGUAAUACGUUUUGGUUUUAUCCUUCGUAAUACGUUUUGGUUUUGAAGUUGUUAUUUUGUGCGCAGGUUGUGAGGUCUGCUCCGUUGGGAGAUCUUCCUUCGAACUUUGUCGAAGGGAGUUACGUUACCCCGGUGACGUUCAAGCGUGGAGAUCUGUAUGCGAGGGGUUAUCUAGUUGACUGGUGGCGCCAUAAGUAUCCUACGCGUAGUAUUGAUGACUUAGUUGAUUUCCUUGUUCGUGAUUACUGCGAUGAUCUUAGGCUUUUUCCAGAUUCGUAUGUUAGAAUUGUGCGAGGGUCCUAGAACCUUCGACGUUUUACGAUUGGAGGAUGUUUUUCGUUUUUUGUUGUAAGUUUCUGUUAUGUACAUUGUAUAUGGUUAAUAAAGAUCAGACAUUUUUACCACAUGGUCUCCGCACCUUUUAACUUUGGCAACCUUCGCGCUAUAAUUUGUACGUGACUCAUAGAUCCUUCGGUUGUUUAGUCGAUGGAGGAUUUGUAAGUUGAACUUGUACAAGCUACCUAUAACCUUCGACUUUUUAUGUGUCGAAGGAUGAUGUUAUUCUUUCCUUGUAAACGAUCUUUUGUAAUGAAUUCUAAGGAUCUCAUUUUGCUACAACCUUCGCGCUACAGCAUUU